GCGUCAUUAGCUCAGUUGGUAGAGCAGCUGACUCUUAAUCAGCGGGUCGAGGGUUCGAGUCCCCCAUGACGCACCA
rnacentral:tRNA from 1 species